rnacentral:rRNA from 1 species
GAUGAACGCUGGCGGCGUGCCUAAUACAUGCAAGUCGAGCGAACGGACGAGAAGCUUGCUUGUCUGAUGUUAGCGGCGGACGGGUGAGUAACACGUGGAUAACCUACUUAUAAGACUGGGAGAACGUCGGGAAACCGGAGCUAAUACCGGAUAAUAUCUUGAACCGCAUGGUUCAAAAGUGAAAGACGGUCUUGCGGUCACGUAUAGAUGGAUCCGCGCUGCAUGAGCUAGUUGGUAAGGUAACGGCUUACCAAGGCAACGAUGCAUAGCCGACCUGAGAGGGUGAUCGCCCACACUGGAACUGAGCCACGGUCCAGACUCCUACGGGAGGCAGCAGUAGGGAAUCUUCCGCAAUGGGCGAAAGCCUGACGGAGCAACGCCGCGUGAGUGAUGAAGGUCUUCGGAUCGUAAAACUCUGUUAUUAGGGAAGAACAUAUGUGUAAGUAACUGUGCACAUCUUGACGGUACCUAAUCAGAAAGCCACGGCUAACUACGUG